AUGAACGCUGGCGGCGUGCCUAAUACCUGCCAGUCGAGCGAACAGACGAGGAGCUUGCUCCUCUGACGUUAGCGGCGGACGGGUGAGUAACACGUGGAUAACCUACCUAUAAGACUGGGAUAACUUCGGGAAACCGGAGCUAAUACCGGAUAAUAUAUUGAACCGCAUGGUUCAAUAGUGAAAGACGGUUUUGCUGUCACUUAUAGAUGGAUCCGCGCCGCAUUAGCUAGUUGGUAAGGUAACGGCUUACCAAGGCAACGAUGCGUAGCCGACCUGAGAGGGUGAUCGGCCACACUGGAACUGAGACACGGUCCAGACUCCUACGGGAGGCAGCAGUAGGGAAUCUUCCGCAAUGGGCGAAAGCUUGACGGAGCAACGCCGCGUGAGUGAUGAAGGUCUUCGGAUCGUAAAACUCUGUUAUUAGGGAAGAACAAAUGUGUAAGUAACUAUGCACGUCUUGACGGUACCUAAGCAGAAAGCCACGGCUAACUACGU
rnacentral:rRNA from 1 species